CCUACGGGAGGCAGCAGUGGGGAAUAUUGGGCAAUGGAGGCAACUCUGACCCAGCAACGCCGCGUGAAUGAUGAAGGUCUUCGGAUUGUAAAGUUCUUUUCUAAGGGAAGAAGAAAGUGACGGUACCUGACUAAGAAGCCCCGGCUAACUACGUGCCAGCAGCCGCGGUAAUACGUAGGGGGCAAGCGUUAUCCGGAUUUACUGGGUGUAAAGGGUGCGUAGGUGGCAGGGCAAGUCAGAUGUGAAAGCCCGGGGCUCAACCCCGGUAUUGCAUUUGAAACUGUCCAGCUGGAGUGCAGGAGAGGUAAGCGGAAUUCCUAGUGUAGCGGUGAAAUGCGUAGAUAUUAGGAGGAACACCAGUGGCGAAGGCGGCUUACUGGACUGUAACUGACACUGAGGCACGAAAGCGUGGGGAGCAAACAGGAUUAGAUACCCCAGUAGUU
rnacentral:rRNA from 1 species